GCACUGCUGAGGAGUCCCAUACUAGGACGAAACGGUCGUUCAGUGC
rfam:Schistosoma haematobium scaffold784_9, whole genome shotgun sequence.